rnacentral:misc_RNA from 1 species
CCUUCCCAUACCAUAAUCCAUCCAGCUUCGAAUCAUUAAAACAUCUUCACUGUAACAGAAAGGGAGAAAGUUCAAGCUUGAUUUUCUCAUUUUUCUCUGUCCGCGAUGGACACCGAAUCAGUGAUCGAGUUCUUAGGUGCUGUUCCUUUGCUUCAGAGGCUCCCUAGCUCGUCUCUCAAGAAAAUUGCCCAACUCGUUACUGUUAAAAGCUACGAGAAAGGGCAGUAUGUUGUUCGUGAGCGAGAGAUUGGGGAAGGAAUCUAUUUCAUCUGGGAAGGAGAGGCUGAAGUAUCUGGAUCAGUUCAUGCUGAGGAAGUCACUCGUCCUGAGUUUCAAUUGCAACGCUAUGAUUACUUUGGUGAUGGUGUCAUCGCUUCCAUUCAACAGGCAGAUGUUAUUGCUUUGACUAAGCUGACGUGCUUGUUGCUGCCCCAUGAACAUUGCACUUUACUUCAGCCAAAAUCAAUGUGGAGUGCUGAUAAGACUCCAGACUCAUGUUCACUUGUGGAGAGUAUAUUGCAUUUGGAGCCAAUAGAAGUGAACAUAUUCCUGGGGAUUACCUUGCCAGAUGCCCCAAAAUUUGGAAAGGUCUUUGGGGGACAGUUUGUUGGGCAGGCACUGGCUGCUGCAUCAAAAACUGUUGAUUGCCUUAAAAUUGUUCAUAGCCUGCAUGCGUAUUUUCUUCUUGUUGGGGAUUUCAACAUGCCAAUUUUAUAUGAAGUUGACCGGGUACGUGAUGGGAAAAGCUUUGCCACCAGAAGAGUUAAUGCAAUACAAAAAGGGACCGUUGUAUUUACUUUGAUUGCUUCAUUUCAGAAAGAACAACUAGGGUUUGUCCACCAAGAAGUAACUAUGCCAAAUGUUCCAGAACCAGAGAUGCUUCUGUCAUUCGACGAGCUGCGAGAGAGACGUCUAACUGAUCCUCGUCUUCCAAGGAGCUAUCGGAACAAGGUGGCCUCAAAAGAUUUCAUCCCUUGGCCCAUAGAGAUAAGGUUUUGUGAGCCGAACACCAACACUAAUCAGACAAAAUCUCCUCCAAGGUAUUUAUUUUAAUGCAUAGUCUUAUCUUUGAUAACAGCCUGCACAUGUUUAAUGCCAACAGAAAUAUGAGCCUUUGUUAUGUCCUUAUGUGCAUUAACAUUUUUACAAUCCCAUCUUAUCAAAUUUUAUCACAGCUUGAGGUACUGGUUUAGAGCAAAAGGAAAACUUUCAGAUGACCAGGCUUUGCAUAGGUGAGUGACUAAUGAACUUGAUAAAGUUGGAUUGUAAAGGAUGCCCAUGCAACAUAAUCAAGUGUGAUAAUCCCUAGAUUUUCUGAAUCAUUUGUUAGCUUUUAGCAUUUGUCAAACGGUCUUUGCAGAUGUGUAGCAGCAUAUGCUUCAGAUCUUAUAUUUCUUCAAGUCAGUAUGAAUCCCCACCGCACUAAGGGUUUGAAGACAGCUGCUGUUAGUCUAGACCACUCGUAAGCAUCUUUAUCUUGUUAACAGUAUAAUUGAUUUUAUAUUGAUUGUGAAACAAAUACAUUAUUUGUGGAGAUUUUUGUACUCAUUGGAAUGAAUAUGAUAGAACUUUAUUAAAAGUACUGACCAUAACCACUUUAUUUGUUUCUUCCCUUGUGUGAUUUGAGAUAUUCAAAGCUAAAAGCUGUGUGAGUAGCUGAUUUUAAGGUGGAUGAUUCAGUUGGCUUGGUUAUUAAUUUCUGUUUUAGUUUGAUUUCAAUGCUCUUAAGCAGAGGUUGUGGUAGCUACAGCAUGUAUCAAUUUGUUUAGGGUGGAUUUUCUUCAGUUUGUGUUGCUCUUGUGAAUCAUGUUAUUUGCUAACCGCAGUUUAUUAUUACAACUUUGGAUAUUUGAAUGUUUAAAGUCUAUGACAAAUAUGCAAGUCUCUUGAGCCUGUAUCACUGACACGUGAUGGAUGUGAAGUUACUUGAGAAGUGUUCAUUUUCCCUUAUGGCUAUAGUUAACCUUUUCUUUUGGGACUUUUCCCUCUCAGGAUGUGGUUCCACCGCUCAUUUAGAGCUGAUGACUGGAUAUUAUUUGUGAUUAAGAGUCCUGCUGCCGCCCACUCACGUGGCUUUGUAUCCGGCCAAAUGUUUAAUAGAAAGGGGGAGCAUGUUGUAUCAUUGACGCAAGAGGGUCUGCUUAGGAAAGCUUUAGCACCAAACCCAACCACUGCGUCCAAGCUGUGAAGGGACCUCUUUGCUGCGAAGUCGUGGUGAAAGUAUUGUUAUAAAUUCAGUAUUACUUAAUUUUUGCUUUUUUUUAAAAAUUAUUUUUCUUAGUAGCAGCUGUUAUCAAGACCCAUAUUGAUCAUGUUUCAGUAUUAUGUAUUGAUAACUAAAAUAUUAUAUAGCCUAUAGCUCCAAGAUUUGCCUCUUCAUUCAAUAAAGUUUGAUUUCUGGCAGCCUAGCACCUUUCUCUUCAUCAUAGGCAAGGGACUUAGCACCGUGGUAUUUGGAAGGGGCAAUGGUGAGCUCUUAUAUACCCAGAUUGAAUUCUGAAGAUGAUGUAAUCAGCUGUAAAUGCCUAGCAUCAUGAAUUACCUGCGCUUGAAUCAUUUUUUUAAUAAGGUAUUCCAAAUGCCAUCAUUGUGAGAUAAUCUCUUUAUGCUAAGUUGCCAACCUUCUAUUAACACUGGUGGGGGAUACUGGGAUCC